rnacentral:rRNA from 1 species
GGUGGUCUGGACGUCGGGCUCCUCGAGGGCCUCGCAGCGCACGACGGCGGCGUUCAUGGUUCUCAGCUCGGCCUGGAAGAAGGCGACGUCCCCGCGGGCGCCGGAGAGCAGGUCGUACUCCUGCUGCAGCAGCUCGCCCAGCUUGCCCGGCAGCGCCUCCACCAUGCCCGACAGCGCGCCCACCGCGAUCUCCAUCCCGCCGGCUGAGUACAGAGCAGCCUCCUCUGGAUCUGGAUCUCUGGGUGGGUGUCGCCGGCGGCGAGGAUGGGCGUGGACCUGAGACUGAGAGGCUACCAAGUCUUCGUCGCCUGUCUGCGGUUGGUGGUGGCGCGAAUAACUUUUUGGCUGUAAUUAUUCAC